GUUCACAGAGGAAGCGAGCGAGCUUAGCUAGGUGAUUCCUUCAGACCACUUCCGCUUCCAACAAAUCCAUCACCUCGCCGGCGCAAAUGGACGCCUUGGAGAGAGGCGAGCGCUGUUAGCCUAAGAAACUCUCGGCUAGCUAAUAUCCUGAUGAAUGACCGGCGGUUGCACUGGAAUGCCUGGUUACAACUAAAGGACCUGGGGUCCUUUUAUAUGCCCGGGUGCGCACAGCUCACACACACAUGCUAGAAAUUACGGGGCUACUACUAAAUCUGGACGUCGAACUCGAGCUUUCAGGCUCGGCUCGGGGUCGCCCAGGCUCGGCCCGAGUUUGAUUCGGCCCGAGAAACAAAAAGGCCGAGCCGAGCUGCGUUAUUGGGCUUGUUUCGGCCUCGGGCCGAGCCCAGCUCGGCUCGAGCCAGCCCGUGAGCUCGUCCAACUCUACAGCCCAAAGUGGCCCAGCACCAGUCACUUGACCUAGCGCUCUACCUCACCCCGAGCAGCACUCAUCCUCUUUCCCCCCAGCGCUAGGUUAGCCAGCCUCCGCCGGCCGCCGCCAUCGCAGUUCCUUCUGUCGCCGAUGACACACACGCCGCUUGUCCAGAUCGCCCAAGGAGCCAUGGAGAAGAAGAAAGAGAGGUCAUUGACCUCCAUUGUUGGGAAGGAGCCAGCGAUUGGAAAAGAGAAGAAGGGCAGAAGCAAGACCUCCAGCUCCAUGGACGCCGGCAUCGAGCCGUCCGUUCGCUCCAAGGCCAAUCCAAGCAUCGUCCUUGUUGACCCGCUUGUGAGGGCAAAGCAGCAGGCGCGAGCACUGCCACCCCCGCCUCCGCCUCGGCGUCUACCUGACAACAAAGGUAUCGGCGCGCGGGCGGCGGCUGUUGUUGCAUCCGGCUGGACCGGCUCCGCGAACACCUCCGUCACGCCUACUUCUCCGGCUGAAGCUGAGUCCUGGGUAAGCACAAAGCAGUGGCCUGCUCUUCUUUCCUCUGGAUAUAAAUAAAGCUUGUGAGCUUGUUGUGUGAUGCAUAGGGAUAAGCCAGAGAACAACAAAAGAAGUAGUAAAUUUCCUAUUGUUUCCACUUGAUUUAUGCCGAUCUGCUAUUGUCCAUUAUAAUCAGUUGUGCUUAAGUAAUUGAUUGUUUCCUGAAGAUUUGCAUAUGACUAAGUCUAACCCAAUAUUUUGUAGGAGGAAUCAAGUUAUUAUUUGGCUGUUCGUUGGGCGCGUUUGAAUGUAUAUGUUGUACAACAUUGGGUGCAUUUGAGUGUAUAUACUGUCUAAAAAGUGAGUAUUUAUGCCCAUGUAAUGCCCCUGUUUAUUGAGGGCUCAACAUUGGGUGAAUGCACUUAGGUAUCCUGUGUUGGAAAACAUGGCAAGAAGAUUCUUAACUAUCCCUGCUAGCUCGGUGUCUUCUGAAUCCAGUUUUAGCACCGGUGGAAGAAUUCUGGAUGAUUAUCGAAGCUCUCUAAAACCAUACAUGGUGGAGGCCUUGGUGUGUGGCGGAAGCUAUAUCAAGGGUGCGCACAAAGACUUAAAUGUGUUGGAUGUGGAAGAAGAUGAUGAGGAGGAGGAUGUGGAGAAGGUCAAAUUGCCUAAAAGCGUGGCAGAUUGCAACUACUAGAUACAUUGUAGGGAGAAGACCAUCAAGAUGCAUUUGUUAAAUUUGCACAUGGAAGUAAAUCAAGCAAUGGAUCUAUAUUGGUCGUCACCCUUGAAUGAUGGAGUUCUUGCAUGGCUUAUGUUGCCUGAACUUUAGAUGUGACAUAUGUCAACUUCUCAACCUUGGACUAUUAAGUUUAUGUUGUCAUUGAAGUUUGAACUAUGGAUGUGACGUAUGUCAUCUUAUUUUGCUAAACUCAUGAAUGGUUUAUGUUCAUCUCAAUUUCUUCAGUGCUGUCCAAACUUGGGUGCAUUUGAUGUCCAAAUUUCAGUGUACUUGUUGUCCAAACCUGUGUGUAUUUUUCUGUCAAUAGUUUCAGACAUUCAGUGUUAAUGCUGUCCAAACUUGGGUGUAUAUGCUGUCAAAGUUUCAGGCUUUCAGUGUUGAUGCUGACCAAAGUUAGCACUUGGGUGUAUUUGCUUGAGUAUUUGCUGUCAAAGUUAGCACUUAGUACAUAUAAAUACUACUAUAUUAGAAAGAA